rnacentral:rRNA from 1 species
UACGGGGGGAGCAAGCGUCGUUCGGAUUUACUGGGCGUAAAGGGCGCGUAGGCGGCGCAACAAGUCACUUGUGAAAUCUUCAGGCUUAACCUGAAGCGGCCAAGUGAUACUGUCGUGCUAGAGUGCGGAAGGGGCAACUGGAAUUCUUGGUGUAGCGGUGAAAUGCGUAGAUAUCAAGAGGAACACCUGCGGCGAAGGCGGGUUGCUGGGCCGACACUGACGCUGAGGCGCGAAAGCUAGGGGAGCGAACGGG